rnacentral:rRNA from 1 species
CAAAAACAUGUCUUUUUGAUUUUAAUUUAAAGUCUAAUCUGCCCACUGAAAUAAUUUUAAAUGGCCGCGGUAUUUUGACCGUGCAAAGGUAGCAUAAUCAUUAGUUUUUUAAUUGAAAGCUUGUAUGAAUGAUUGAAUAAGAUAUUUAUUGUCUCACAAUUAUUUGAAUUAAAAUUUAAUUUUUAAAUUAAAAAGUUUAAAUUUUAUUAUAGGACGAGAAGACCCUAUAGAUUUUUAUAAUUAAAUUUAUAGUUUUAAUUUAAUUUAUUAAUUAAUUAAAUUUUUAAUUAUUUUGUUGGGGUGACAUUAAAAUUAAAUUAACUUUUAAUAUAAUUGAACAUUAAUUUAUGAAAUUUUAAUAUAUAAAUUAUUUAUAUUAUUUUAUUAUUAUAAUUGAUCCUUAGUUUUAGAUUGUUAAAUUAAAAUACCUUA